GAGGUGGCCCAGCCGCGGGGGACGCCAGGCCGCCUCCCCUGACUACAUGGCAGCUUCUCUCAUAAUUAACUCGACUUCCCGGGAUGCCAAGGAGAAGGGGUACCCGCAGAAAGGAGGCCCAUGGUUGAUUUCAGCCCACCAGGAUCUGGGGAAGACCCAACUAGGGAUAAGAGAACACCGGAAGGCCAAGUCCGAGUUCCAUUCCUAAAAGAGGCGGCUGCGGGCAAGGCUAUGACAUUGGCCCUGGAUAUUAGCUUCCCAGGAGCUGCUCUUUCUCAAGAACUCCACAGGACGGGGCUGUCUCCAGAAAAUGCUCUUCAACGUUUAUUUCCUUUAAUCGUCGCCCGGAGCCCUAAGGCGGCUAAUGCAAGAGGCCAAAAAUGUUUGGAGGAAGAAAAACAAAGGCAGGAAGUGGCCGCGGCCUGACGGUGCGUGUGUGUCUGUAAAGAAGGGAGGGAGCCGGUUCAACCUCCCCUUGUUUUCCCGAACUUCAAGGUCUAGGCAGACCCCCUUAGGGCCUUGCCGAGGCUCCCCCCCGGCGGCGCAGCAUUUGGAGGUGGCCAACGAUUUAAACCUCGUCGGGCUGAAAGGAGAUUUGAUCGACAGAACAAACCAACCCUUUUCGGAGGUUUCUUUUGAUUUGGUCCUGAAGGGUAUAUGCUAGUGUCCACAGCGGCUGGGUGGCUGCUGUUUUCCUCCUGCCGAGCUAAAAGUACCAAGAAGGGAGGGAGGGAGAUUCAAGCACCUUGCGCUGGCUGCACUCUCCUUCUGAGAAUAUCAGAAUAAAGUGUAUUCAGGUGCCUCUGCUGAA
rnacentral:lncRNA from 1 species